UCUACGGGAGGCAGCAGUAGGGAAUUUUCGUCAAUGGGCGCAAGCCUGAACGAGCGAUGCCGCGUGAGUGAAGAAGGCCUUCGGGUCGUAGAGCUCUGUUGCGGGGGAAAAAAGGCAGCAUCAGGAAAUGGGUGCUGACUGAUGGUGCCCCGCCAGAAAGUCACGGCUAACUACGUGACAGCAGCCGCGGUAAUAAGAAGGGGGCGAGCGGUAUACGGAAGGAUUGGGCGGAAAGGGUGCGCAGGCGGGCCUGCAUGUGUGGAGUGAAACGCAUGAGCUCAACUCAUGCAUGGAUUUGGAAACUAGAGGACUGGAGAGCAGGUGAGGGCGGUGGAACUCCAUGUGUAGCGGUA
rnacentral:rRNA from 1 species